rnacentral:lncRNA from 1 species
UUGAUUUAUCUAUCUACUAAUUUAUUAUGUUUUAAAGUUUAUUCUUUAUGUUGUAUUAAUUGGAUGGAAAGGUUUUUGUUGUAUUUUCUUUUUUCGUUUAUGGAGUAAAUAAAUCAAAUGAGUUUGGGCUUAGUUUGGUUUUAAAUAAAUUGAAAGUUGUUUGAGAGUCACGAGAACUCUGAUUGUAUUCUAAUUCAUUAUUUCUCCCUUUCUUUCUACGCAGAGCUCUAAAUUUUUAAUCUUUUUUUCUCUCUCUCUCUUGUUCUCUGCUCACCCCAAGCCAAGCCUUGAAGCUCCCAAGUUAUCAAGUAACACUAUAUAUCCGUCGUUGUCUAUUUUGCUAUUAAUUGUGCGUUUAAGAAAAUAUACAAAAUAUUUUUAAAGUAAAAAAAUAUUAUUUAUAUAAAAUUUUGAUUUUAAUUAUAUAUGCUUAGAUAGUUUAAUCUAAUAUUUGUCUAUAUAAUUUAUUUAUUUUUUAGCCGCAUAGAUGAAAGUGUAUAAUAUAGAGAUUGAAGACGGAAGAGAUAACAUGUGAGGCCAAAAAGAUUAAACAUUCAACUCAUAAGUUAUUUUUCUUCAUAUUAUAAUACUGUAUUUCAUGUAAUUAUGUUGUACUUUAAACUAUUAAACAUAUUUUUGUAUCAAAUUGUAGAUAAUGUUCUAUACAAAUUAAACUAUUGAUCGUACGAGGUUGAGAAUUUCAAGCGGCUCGUUUAGGGUUCGAGCUCGCUCGACUUGAAAUUAGGCUCGAUCGAGCUCGGCUCGAAUUAAUUUCAAACCAAGCUUGAGCUUAAAUUUAGGCUUGAAAUUAAUUUCAAGCUGAAUUUGAGCCGAAAUAAGCUCGCUUGAGCUUGGCUCGUUUCCACCCCUAGUUACGUGCGAUGAAAAAGUACGUUGAAAAAAUACCAUAUUUGUUUCGGUACGUAAUAUUGCGUUCGGCAUAUCGCGAUGAGUAGGUUAUUAUAUAUUUUCUGCGGUUCUAUCGAAAAACGUAGAAGCACAUCCCUAUAUAAUUUUUUCUCAUAUUUCUAUAUAUUUUUUUCUCAACUCCAGUUUAUUUAAUAGUAUUUGAUAAAUCUUAAUACCAAACUAAGCCUUAAUAGAUGGAAUGCUCCCCUACUUAAUAGGAUCCUAACUGGAUUCCCAAUUUUAACCGGUUUGUGUUGUGGGCGAAAUUCCUUACCCGGUUUCCUACGGAGUCAACUUCGGGUUCGGAUCCAUCGCUCGUCUUCUUCCGCGCCCUCUUCUCUCUCUCUCUCUCUCUCUCUCUCCCGAAUCACUCUCCCGGAACCCUUUUAUUUUCACCAUCUCCGUCUCUCUUAGAAUUUUCUCAUCAUCGACUACGCCACCGACGUAGCUACUCUUCGAAGCACUCUUCUUCGUUACUGCGAUCCCCACCGAGGUGCGUUAGAUCUCACUUUUGUAAUCGUUUUUUUAAUUUUUAUUUUUAGAUGCCAAAAUCGAACGCACUACUUUUCCAAUUAUGAUUCGAUCUGAUCCGAAGACGAACCCUAAUUAGCUCAAUUUCUCGCUCGAUUCCUCGUUGCUCUUUUGUUUUUCCCUCAAUUCUCUGCUAGUAGAUCUCUUCGCUCGAUGUAGAAUUGAUAAUUGCUUUACUGCUAUUCGUUUAUCUGAUCUCUACUUUUUUUGGAGCGGGUAAUUUAUUAGAUCUAAUCAGUUAUUUUUUCCGUUUUAUUUCGUUAUACUACAAAAAUGUCGCUUGUUGUGAGAUUCUCCUUUAGUUGCAGCUAAGAAUGAAAUUUUCGGGGGGCCAAAGUGUUUUAUUGAUAUGAAAUGGUACAAUAAAUAUGUUUUAGGACGCUAAAUUGCUAAUUUUAUGUAUGGCAAUUACUAUUAUUUAAAAUGAGUAAGUGAAAGAUCUUAAGGAAGUCGAAUUUAUUAUAUUCAUUAUUUUGUGCAGAGUAGUCGCAAGAAGAACAAUUGAUAUUAGCGUGAUUAUUAGUUGGUCAUUUUUUCCAUUUUGAAGAGCAUAACUCGAGUAAAUAAUAGUUGAGAAGAGAGACGCAUCACAGCGAUGUUUUCGUUGUUUUAUGGACUCUGGAAGUAUAUGCUCAGCAAGACAGAGUUUCAUGUUCUUAUUCUUGGAAUUGAUAAGGCUGGAAAAACUGUAAGUGUUCUUUCGUAUAUGCUUUAUUAUUCGUGCACUAAAAGGUCGAUGUUGUUGAGUCAUCUGAAUCUUAUAUAUAUAUUUUUUGUUGAUAUGUUCGAGCUGCUUCGCCUUCUCUGUGAUCAAUAGUUAUAAUCAAUAUGUGACUAAUGAUUGUAAUAUAUCCUGGAUGCAUACGAAGCAUAAUUUAUGCUUUUCCUCUUGUAUUCUUAGUAGUCACUAUAGGAAGCAAAUCUUGGUUCAGAACUUGAAUUUAUACUUCUAUACUUUUGGUCAACAAAUUGAACACGAGUUAUAGUACUCUUUCAGAGGUCAAUAACUAGUUUUGAUCGGCAUUCUAGGCUCCAUUGCGCAUGGAUAUCAUGUUUCGACAACAGUUUUCAUAGCUGGUAAAGUUGCUUGCAUUUACAUUGAAAGGUUUAAGCUAAGCUGAGUUCAUCAUCUCUUAUUAAGUUCCGGAGAUAGCAUUCUCUGUGCCUUUUUUGGGUGGGGCAUUGGUAUAUGAUUCCUGUGAGGCAUAUGCUUUGUUAACAGCUUUUUUCAAAAGAUCUGAUCAACAAAUUGACUUUGAAGAGAUGUUGUGUGCUUAUGCAAUCAUUAGCUGUUUCUGUUACUUAAAUGUACUGGGAUUGCCAUUUAUUAUAUUCCUAUUUACGUAGACGUUGUUGGAGAAGCUGAAGUCAAUAUAUUCGAAGAUGGAAGGGCUCCCACCUGACCGCAUUGUUCCCACCGUUGGGCUUAAUAUUGGCCGCAUUGAAGCUGCAAAUGCAAAACUUGUAUUUUGGGACUUAGGAGGUCAGGUAUGGUUCUUAUUGAAAUUUGCGAUCUCUGAUUUAUCAUGACUUAUGCAGUGUUUGCCAUUUGUUUGUUAGUCUCUUGUAAGCUUUGUAGUCAGUUGUCCCUCUUAGGAAUGAAAUACUUGUUUUUUAAUUAGUGAGUUACAAAUUUCUUAAAACCAUCAAGCAAUAGCAGAUACUUGUAAUAUUAUGCAUGCUAUUUUUCUUUUUUCUUCUUUUUUGGGUGGAGAAGAUUGCAUACGCUUGUUUCUGAAGAUAAAGAUGAAUAUAUAUUACUCAAUUUGCUUGGUACACUUGGUCCUAGAAGAACUCCAUAUUAUGGCAUAACUUAUACUCUUAGUAAUGAGGCGUCAACUUAUUCUUGCAGGUUGGCCUGCGCACAAUUUGGGAGAAAUAUUAUGAGGAGGCUCAUGCCAUAAUAUAUGUUAUCGAUGCUUCUUCUCCAUCAUCAUUUGAAGAUGCAAAGUCUGCACUGGGUUAGUUCAUUAAUUAUCUUAAGGAAGCUAAGUACAUGCAUUUGUUUUAGACCGCUGUUGUGAAGAGCCAUUGAUUGAAUACAUUCAAGUUCAACUAAUUUGGUUCUUGUAUUAUUAUUUCUUAAUGGAAACUUGAAAUUGUUUGCAGAAAAAGUGCUUCGGCAUGAGGAUCUGCGGGGGGCACCACUUCUUAUAUUGGCAAACAAGCAGGUCUGAACUGUUUUACCCUCUAAUUUUCUGAAAUGAUUUCACCGCUAUAUUUAUUACUUGUGGUAUGAAUUACUUAAAAUAAGAAAAGUGAUGAUAUAGAACAUGCAGUGAAGCAUGCCCCACAUAGACAGCCAUUCCACAAACAUUUGCAUCUUAUUAGUCAUUUUUUAGGGUGAAAAGGUGAUAUUGUUUCUUUUCAACAGGAUCUACCAGGAUCUAUCUCAGCUGAAGAUGUGGCAAGGUACUUGGAUCUUAAGGAGUUGGACGAGAGGUUAUACAUGUUUCAAGCUGUAUCUUCAUAUGAUGGGUGAGUAAAAACAACCUCACUUAAAGAAAAGCAUACCAUUCUGCGUACGAGCAAGUUAUCUUGAUGUAGGAUACGACAUCUAUAUGUCCCUGAGAUCUUACUCUCAUUUCAUUGUAAACUCGAUCUCUUAUGGUGAUCUUGCUCUCAAUCAUCCAUAAACUCGACGAGUUGCACACAGGACGGGGAUAAAAUUCGGCAUCGACUGGUUGGUGGAGGUCAUGGAAAGAAGCAAGCGAACAGAAAUAUUAAGAGUACGGGCAGGUGCAGCGGGACAUGUUUAGCACUUCCUCUCUAUUUGGUCUCGAAGAACUUCUCGAGCAAAAGAUAUAGGUGAGUACAUACUGUUUGGUCACUUAGAAUUGGCAUUCCUUGCUGUAUGCAUUUUAUUUGAGUCUGCGAUCCGUUGAUACCAUGAUUCUUGUUGUUCUUUGACGAUCCAAUUCCUACUUACUGUUGAAAAUUUUCAUCUGCAACUCUCUUCUUUUUUUUUUCGUCUUUUUUCCAACAAUCAGGUGAUCCUUAAAUCAUUCACCUUUAUACUUUGGCUUGUAUUGUACUUUUACAUUGAUACAUGUUGGUAGGUAUUUUAUAUAUACGGUAAAAAGUCAAUGAUGAUGCAAAUUUUUUUUUAUUUUUUUAUUUUUCAGGAGUUAACUGAUGGUAGGAUCAAAAUUAGGAACAUUUAAUCAUAUGCUUCUCCUCAAUUUAGCUAAAUAUGUAAAGUAACGAAACAUUAAAUCUGAUAUCUCGGAUAUCAACUAUUUUUGCUUUUUUGCUAUCUGCUCUAGGAACGGUCGGUAUAAUUGGAACUUCUUUACAAGUGAUGUUUGCAUAAAAUUGUUUAAAGAUACAUUGACAGUCAUAUUCAUCAAAAAAAUUUCCAACAAUUUUGUGUUACAACAACUACCAUAUUUCUAGUUAGAAGAAGCUUGGAAUGGAUGCUUUUGUUUUAGCGUCACAAAACAUUUCGGCUUUCUCAAAAAUCACUUGUUGCCGAAUGUUGCUCUUGUUCUAAAAUCAAAUCGAGCAGAAAAAGAAUGGAGUUUUAUUUUGUUUUGAAAGGAAUUAGAUAGUGAAAGCUAAUAGAUGGGCCCAUCCGCCUAACCAUCUCUAUAAAUAUCGCAUCAUUAACUCAUCCAUCAGAAGCACUUAGGGGCUGUUUGGUUGCACGUGCAGUUGCAAAUGUAUACAAUCUCAAUUUCCAUAUUUGGUUUAGUACAGUUGAGUCCAACUGUUGCAGUUUCAACUGUACAAGAAGGUCCAAAUGCUACAGUUGAAACUAUAUCCAAAUUGGCUGCAGUUUCAACUGCAGCAGUUGGUAAGGAUUAGAAUCACCCACAAAUUAACAAUAAUAAAUAAAUAAAAAAAAUAAAUAAAUAAUAUAUUUAAUUAUUUUAAUCUGAAAAUUUUUUACAGCCUGAACAUUAACAGGGCCAUAACCGUUGAGUUUACAAGACCGUGCCUCAAUAACGCAACGGUCAUUAGAACGUUAACGCGGCUCGGUCUAUAAACCCCGGCUCAGGGAAUAGCUUCUCCCAUCCCAGAGACCCAGAGCGCUUUCCCGCCAAAAUCAGCCUCCGCCUUCCCCAAAGGGCCCAAGAUACGGUGCGGUCCCGGAGCGUCGCCCAAACCCUAGCUUCGAUCGCCCCUUCCUUCAAACCCUCCCAUGGCGACAUCGCCCACUGCAUCGGAUCCUCCCUCCUCUCCGAUCGCCGCCUCAGAUACCGCCGAUAACAAUCUCCAGGUCCCUGCUCCACCCCCCUCUUCUCUCUCUCUCAUCAUUGCUCAUCCUUUCGUCCUGAUUCUUCUGUUCUUUUCUUGUUGCAGCCAUUUUUUGUUUUGCACAAAGCAUUGCCUGGGAAAUCCGAGAAAAGGGCUUCUGGAUCCGGGAGAACCAGANUUUGAUUUACAUAUUAAAAUUAAAUAAAUUAAAAUUUUAAAUGUGUCGAUUAAUAAAUUAAAGAAUUGUUGAAAAAUAUAAAAAUAUUAUAUAUAUCUAUCUAUUUAUUUAUAAAUAGUAAGUUUAAAUAAUUAAUAAAAUUAUAUAAUUAUUUUAUGCAUAGUGAAGGUAAUCUCACCAAACAAAAUUCACAAAUAUAACUAUUAGCUUCAUAUUACCAAACAGAAAAAAAAUGUAUCUACAGCAGUUGCAACUGUAUAAAACCAAACAGACUAGGUGUAGUUACAACUAUAGCAUUUACAGCUGCAUGUAUUUUCAACUAUACUGUUUCUGUAACUACAUCCAACCAAACGGCUUACUGAAAAAGCCACGCCUUUGGCUUUGACAUUUUUACCCUUCCA